GUGUGGGUAGCUCAGUCGGUAGAGCAGCAGUCUUUUAAUCUGAGAGUCCAGGGUUCAAGUCCCUCUUCAGGCC
rnacentral:tRNA from 1 species